GUAGCCUAAUUUAGGUUCUCUGAGUCUUUAAAGCUUAUUCAGCGCCCCUGGAGUGCUGAGUUCCUCUAUAUGACUGCAGUGGAACAUCUUAGUCCAUCCAGCAUCCAUCAGCAGAGAAACUGAAGCUUGUACCGUUCUUUUCUUCCCUUUUUAGACUCUUUUGGGUCUAAGCUGGCAGAGCCCGGAGAGAGAAGGAGACCAGCGAAGGUGUGAGAACUGAGCUGAGCUGAGCCUGAGGACUGAAGUCACUGAAAAGUGGCCAGCGAGCGUGUUGUAAUACUUUUGUGGGCUAUUAGCCGCGUGUGACUGAAUAUUGAAGGAGCUGUACGGAAAUGCAAAGUGAGCAGCAACACCACAGAAGAGAUUUCCAAACAUGCUAUCCGAUGGUUCAAUCUUGCAUCAGACUGCGGAGGCGGACGCUGGGAGAGAUACAGGUCAUCUACAGCUCUUCAAACCACAGAGGGUUAAUAAUUCACUUUUGGAAAACACAAGAAGGUGCUAAAUGUUAAGUGUUCAAUAAAUAUUGUAUUCAUAUUCAA